GACGAACGCUGGCGGCGCGCUUAACACAUGCAAGUCGAGCGAGAACCAGGGCUUCGGCCCUGGGGACAGCGGCGAACGGGUGAGUAACACGUGGGUAAUCCACCCUCGGCACCGGAAUAGCCCGGGGAAACCCGGAUUAAUGCCGGAUGGCCCGCCGGCCCUGCGGGGCUGGCGGAAAAGGUAGCUUCGGCCUCCGGCCGAGGACGAGCCCGCGACGGACUAGCUUGUUGGUGGGGUAACGGCCUACCAAGGCUGCGAUCCGUAGCUGGUCUGAGAGGACGAUCAGCCACACUGGGACUGAGACACGGCCCAGACUCCUACGGGAGGCAGCAGUGGGGAAUCUUGCGCAAUGGGCGAAAGCCUGACGCAGCGACGCCGCGUGAGGGAGGAAGGCCUUCGGGUUGUAAACCUCUUUCAGGAGGGACGAAGCCACUCGGGUUAAUAGCCCAGAGGGUGACGGUACCUCCAGAAGAAGCCCCGGCUAACUACAUGCCAGCAGCCGCGGUAAGAC
rnacentral:rRNA from 1 species